rnacentral:tRNA from 1 species
GGUUUGUGGCUCAGAGGCAGAGUACUCGUCUAGCACGCGCGAGGCCCUGGGUUCGAUCCUCAGCACCA